GCCAGCCGGCGCUGCUUUACGGCAGGCGUGGGCGGGGGGUGCAGUCGAGUCCCGCCGGCCCCCGCGCGAAGAUGGGAGCCGGCCCGGUGUUUCACGCCAGCGCGUGGCCUCCGCCAGGGUGUCAGGCAGAGUGGAAGGAGAGGAGGAGAAGGGAAGUCGGGGACGUCGGUCAUGUCUAGGCGCUGGUGUUCUGGGUGCAGCCGCUGGCCCUGGCCCCAGGGGCACAAGUGAGACACACACCCCGCCCCCGUCCCGGGGCCAGGGACCAGUCACGACCACGUAGGUCAGGACCUGGCCCCAAGGAAAGACUCGGCCCACGGGAGCCCAGCUGACAACAUCUCCAGCCACCCACAAGCGUGCAACGAACGAAGGGGCAGGGAGCGAGUUUCCAC
rnacentral:lncRNA from 9 species